AUUGAACGCUGGCGGAAUGCUUUACACAUGCAAGUCGAGCGGCAGCACGGGGGCAACCCUGGUGGCGAGCGGCGAACGGGUGAGUAAUACAUCGGAACAUGCCCAGUCGUGGGGGAUAACACUUCGAAAGAAGUGCUAAUACCGCAUACGUCCUGAGGGAGAAAGCGGGGGAUCGUCGGACAUCGCGCGAUUGGAGUGGCCGAUGUCAGAUUAGCUAGUUGGUGGGGUAAAGGCCUACCAAGGCAACGAUCUGUAGCUGGUCUGAGAGGAUGAUCAGCCACACUGGGACUGAGACACGGCCCAGACUCCUACGGGAGGCAGCAGUGGUGAAUUUUGGACAAUGGGGGCAACCCUGAUCCAGCCAUUCCGCGUGAGUGAAGAAGGCCUUCGGGUUGUAAAGCUCUUUCGGCAGGAACGAAACGGCGAGCUCUAACAUAGCUUGCUAAUGACGGUACCUGAAGAAGAAGCACCGGCUAACUACGUGCCAGCCGCCGCCGUAAAAC
rnacentral:rRNA from 1 species